rnacentral:rRNA from 1 species
AACGAACGCUGGCGGCGUGCUUAACACAUGCAAGUCGAACGGAAAGGCCCUGCUUGCAGGGUACUCGAGUGGCGAACGGGUGAGUAACACGUGGGUGAUCUGCCCUGCACUUCGGGAUAAGCCUGGGAAACUGGGUCUAAUACCGGAUAGGAGCCAUUUUUAGUGUGAUGGUUGGAAAGUUUUUUCGGUGUAGGAUGAGCUCGCGGCCUAUCAGCUUGUUGGUGGGGUAAUGGCCUACCAAGGCGGCGACGGGUAGCCGGCCUGAGAGGGUGGACGGCCACAUUGGGACUGAGAUACGGCCCAGACUCCUACGGGAGGCAGCAGUGGGGAAUAUUGCACAAUGGGCGCAAGCCUGAUGCAGCGACGCCGCGUGGGGGAUGACGGCCUUCGGGUUGUAAACUCCUUUCGCUAGGGACGAAGCUUUUUGUGACGGUACCUAGAGAAGAAGCACCGGCUAACUACGUG